UGUCGCACCAGCCACCACCUAGGGCCACAAGACGUCGCAGCCCGCGAUUCUCCUUUUCUGUACCCCGGAGCUGGAAGACAAGGGGACACAGCGGGCUGACCAAGUGGCCAUGUGGGGUCACAGAGCCACGGCGGGGUGGGGGAGGGGGCGUGUCUUUUCUCUCGAGGAACCCUCAGGGCGCCGGAAAGUUUUCCACCGCUCGGGGACACCGGAGGGUACAGUGUGAACCCCGCUGCCUAUGGCCCCCAAGUUCUAGAACUCUCCCGGCGCGCUGUGCCUCGGCUUCGCUGCCUGUCACGAACAGCACACACGCCCUCCGCCUGCCAGAUUGACCCAGGCUCCCUUAGGAACCCCACAAACAGGCUGGGCUUUAGGCUAGGGGAGGAGGCUCCCUGCAGACGGCGCGCCCCCGAUCGCGGGGUGCUGCCCACCCUGAACUUUGAUCGUGUGGAAAAGUGGGGACGGCAUUCCCCAAGAAGCAAGUUCGGGACCCCAGGAGGACAUCUUUUGAGGUCUGAGCGGACCUGGCUCUUCUGCAAGCACGCCCCGCAAAAAGUGUCUUCCCUGUAAAACUGAGGCCUCCAGACCCGAGUGGCCCUGUCCCCUCCUCACUGCAGAAGUUCAGCUGAGCUUGAGAGAGUGAUGUCCCCCAUCCUCGGCGCCUUUCCCGUGCUUAGCCGCCAAGCCAAGGCCAGAGGUGUGCAGGGAAAAUUUUAGAGAAACCGCAUCUUAUAAAUGUGAGGAUUUGAUCAGGCAGCACAGAUUACUCAAAGCGUUCCGUUUUUCUGCGAUCCAAUUUUAUUAGGAUUUAUUCUCAUUUGUGCCCGGCUUCUCUGGGGAAAUAAUGCUUUGAUUAAUGUAAUCCUGGCCCAGGAUCGCGCUUCACGCCCCUCGACCCUCUCCCAAGAGAAAGGGCCUGUUUGACAAACAAUAACAGAGGCGCAACUCUUGCAAUCUGCCCGCGCCUUUGGGGAUGGCUGGGAAGAGGGUGACGCUCGCUCACACCCUGCUCGCUGAAGGCGGUGUGCAGGGGCGAGAAAGAGGGGAGCCCUGUGGCGGCGAACUCUCCAGGCAGAGCCCCAGGCCUCCACGGCAGAGAUCUGCGCGCUGUGAUUGUGCAGUUCCGUGACCCCGACUACAUCUGUAGCGCCCACCCGCGGCCCCGCGGCACCGGAGAGCAGGUCUCAGGGGCUCACCAGCCGCGCCAACCUCAGACGCCCUGCAGCCGUCAAAACCCGAACCGGAAGCCCAGAACCAGGGACCCAACUCAGUGGUUUUCCUCAUCCAUCACCCAUGCAUCCAUUCAUCCUUGCAUGCAUGCAUGCCUGCAUGCCUGAAUACCAUACAAAUCGGUGGACAGAAGCGCGGAGAGUCCUUUGCCCAGCUACGGGCUGAGAACGGGCGCCCCCUCUGCAGCUCUCUCGCCUCCUGCUCAACCAAAACCCCCUCCGCGAGGAGAAAACAGCUCAAUUACGAAAGGAGCAGAGAAACGAAAUCCCGGGCUCAAACGCCCUGCCCACCGCGGCUUCUACGGUCCCCCUUUCUGUAACACCGUCCCCACCCCCACGGUCCCCAGCUCAGGGGCGGGCGGGGAGGCGGUGGCGCGAGGGGUCCUGCCCCGCUCCACGGAAACAAAGCCCGCCGCGGGAGCUCACGGCCGCCUCAGAGCGGGUGACAAAGGCAGGCAGGCGGUGCCAAGCUCCAAGGCAGUGCUCCUAUGGCCAGGCGGGAAGGAGGCCCAAAGAUGGGUGCAAUUUGCACCCAGAUUUUUCUGGGCUUCUCUCCUGUUUACCCAAAGACCUGUUGGGUGACUCAGCGUUUAUCUAUCUGGUCCUGCAACCUCAACAUCCUCGCUCCUCUCCUGGGCCCGCCCCAGGCUCCUCCACCUCGCCCCGCUUUUUUCUCCACCUUACUCCUAUUACCUCGGGCCCCCUCUGGCUUUGAGGGUUAGCUUUUUCCCCCUCGUCUUUUCCAUGGAAAAGCAAUGUUAACGGGACUUCUGCAGACCGCUCUAUGUUCAAAUAAUAUUCUAAAAGAUCUUUCUGGGAAGUCGCUGGCAGAAAGGGGGAAGUAUUGGGAGCCUUUUAAUUUUAUUAUGCAAACUGCACUCUAAAUAAAAUAGAAUGCCGUUAAAAUGCGUUCUAAGAAAGACAGACAGCCCCGAGGCCCAACAGAUUCCUGCUGAAUGCGGCAAAUGUCCCUGUCGGCUCCCACAAAUCAUAUAAAUGGUUGGGUCGGGGGAGGGGAGAAGACCCCCCUCCCCAUGCAAUAGAAACCCACCCCACAUAAGUGGACGCUCCAAGUGUCUGAGGCAAACCUUUCUAGGGGGGAAAAGUUCUAAUCUUGCAUUCUAACCCUGGAUGGGAAUUGCUGCCAAGACCCUACCAAUAAAAUCGUGCAAUUUUUGAAUUUAAGGUACUUUUAAAGUUUUGCUU